GACGAACGCUGGCGGCGUGCCUAAUACAUGCAAGUAGAACGCUGAAGGAGGAGCUUGCUUCUCUGGAUGAGUUGCGAACGGGUGAGUAACGCGUAGGUAACCUGCCUGGUAGCGGGGGAUAACUAUUGGAAACGAUAGCUAAUACCGCAUAAUAGUAGAUGUUGCAUGACAUUUGCUUAAAAGGUGCAAUUGCAUCACUACCAGAUGGACCUGCGUUGUAUUAGCUAGUUGGUGGGGUAACGGCUCACCAAGGCGACGAUACAUAGCCGACCUGAGAGGGUGAUCGGCCACACUGGGACUGGGACACGGCCCAGACUCCUACGGGAGGCAGCAGUAGGGAAUCUUCGGCAAUGGACGGAAGUCUGACCGAGCAACGCCGCGUGAGUGAAGAAGGUUUUCGGAUCGUAAAGCUCUGUUGUAAGAGAAGAACGAGUGUGAGAGUGGAAAGUUCACACUGUGACGGUAUCUUACCAGAAAGGGACGGCUAACUACGUG
rnacentral:rRNA from 1 species